UCCAGGCCCGGGGAAGGAGCCUCUGC
rnacentral:piRNA from 1 species